rnacentral:rRNA from 1 species
GACGAACGCUGGCGGCGUGCCUAAUACAUGCAAGUCGAACGCACUCUCGUUUAGAUUGAAGGAGUUUGCUCCUGAUUGAUAAACAUUUGAGUGAGUGGCGGACGGGUGAGUUACACGUGGGUAACUGCCCCUAAGGGGGGGAUAAAAUUUGGAAAACGACCUUCAGAUCGCAUAAAAGCUUAUACCGCCUUGGCGCGGGUGGAAAAGUGGGUUCGGGCUUCCCUUUUGGGAGGGACCGAGGGGCAUUAGUUAGUUGGUGGGGUAAAGGCCCACCAAGACCGUGAUGCGUAGCCGACCUGAGAGGGUGAUCGGCCACACUGGAACUGAGACACGGCCCAGACUCCUACGGGAGGCAGCAGUAGGGAAUCUUCCACAAUGGACGCAAGUCUGAUGGAGCAACGCCGCGUGAGUGAAGAAGGUUUUCGGAUCGUAAAACUCUGUUGUUGGAGAAGAAUGUAUCUGAUAGUAACUGAUCAGGUAGUGACGGUAUCCAAACAGAAAGCCACGGCUAACUACGUG